UGAAUUGUGCCCGGAAACCAUUGUAGCCAAUGAAGUUAAUCCGAGGUACGAUGAUUGCUAACUGAAAACCACUCGAAAACAUU